GGAGGGUGCGAGCGUUAAUCGGAAUUACUGGGCGUAAAGCGCGCGUAGGCGGCUUGGUCAGUCGGAUGUGAAAGCCCCGGGCUUAACCUGGGAAUUGCAUUCGAUACUGCCAGACUAGAGUAUGGGAGAGGGAAGCGGAAUUUCCGGUGUAGCGGUGAAAUGCGUAGAUAUCGGAAGGAACACCAGUGGCGAAGGCGGCUUCCUGGCCCAAUACUGACGCUGAGGUGCGAAAGCGUGGGGAGCAAACAGGGAUUAGAUACCCUGGUAGUCCACGCCGUAAACGAUGAGAACUAGAUGUGGGAGGAUUUGCCUCUCGGUGUCGCAGCUAACGCGUUAAGUUCUCCGCCUGGGGAGUACGCCGGCAACGGUAA
rnacentral:rRNA from 1 species